CAAAGUGGCUAGAGGACAGCAGCCCUGAAUCCCUCCAACACCCUCCCGAAAAAACAUAUUGGGCCACAUUUGGUGCUCUGCUGGCGAGAAGCUCCAGCCCUCAGCCCUCCACCUCUGGCUUCCAAUAUAGACGACCGAAGGAUGCCAAUCAAGAGGUAAACACUGCCCAGCCAGUGAGGAGGUCAAGCCCCCAGCCCUCCACCUCUGGUUUACACUUGAACCGUGACUGGAGAGCAAGGAGAUCCAGCCCUCAGCCCUCCACCUCUGCCUUCAAGCGUGGGAGAGAGGAGGCUGACCAGGAAGAGCAGGAACGCCAAAGAUUCCGGAGCGGGUACUACAGAGUCCAGACUGACACCGAUGGGUCCCGCCCCACCGUGUGCUUCCCUUAUUGUUUUCUACCAAAAAUUGUUAAUGUUAAUAUUGUAUGUACUGGGUAUGGUGUCGGGGUGGUGGAACAGGUCUUCAUUUACACCACAGAUGGAGUAUUUCUCACUCACUCAAGGGCAGUCUCCAUUAGAGAGUCUUUAUGUGGCAAAUCCAUCAGCCACACAUUUCUUUACACAUUUCUUUUUCUUCCUACCUACACAGUCACUGCUAAGUUUAAGAUAUAGAGUAGUAAUGAUAAGUUAUUCGAAAUGUACUAAUAGUACGCUCAGAAUA